rnacentral:rRNA from 1 species
UACGGGGGGGCAAGCGUUGUUCGGAUUCAUUGGGCGUAAGGGUGCGUAGGCGGUCUUAUAAGUCAGUGCUGAAAUAUCCCGGCUUAACCCGGGAGGGUGGCAUUGAUACUGUAGGACUUGAGUAGAGUUGAGGUUGGCGGAAUUGACGGUGUAGCGGUGAAAUGCUUAGAUAUCGUCAAGAACACCGAUAGUGAAGACAGCUAACUAAGCUCAACAUGCGCUGAGGCACGAAAGUGUGGGGAUCAAACAGGG